rnacentral:other from 1 species
ACACCCCUGCCGUGCUCGUGAUUGGAAGAUGUGCUUUGACCCAACACUUUAUUUUCGGGAGCUUUCACUGGUUUUGGUGAGCAGGUUCUGCGCGUACAGAAAAGCCUAAAGAAACUAUAAGGCGCCCACCUCGUUCGUCAGGUUCAAAGACCUGCCAACACGGCACAUUGGUGGGGGUAAA